rnacentral:rRNA from 1 species
AGUAGGGAUACCCGCUGAACUUAAGCAUAUCAUAAAGCGGAAGGG